UCCCCUCGGCUUUGCUAGAAUUUAUAAUAAAUUGUAGAUGUGAUAAGCAAUACUGGUAUCCAAUACCAAUGCACUAUCACAAAAAUCUAACAAUUGGAGAUUGAUCAUGAAUGUACCUAAAGCUUCUCCAAUCUUCUAUUUCGCCCUUUCUGCAAGGUACUCUUUGUAGUUCCUCUUCCAGUGCCCAUCUUUACCAUAG
rnacentral:lncRNA from 1 species